rnacentral:misc_RNA from 1 species
GCUCUGUUUCAUUCCUAAUAUCUGAUACUCAUCCUUCUGAUUAAGCGAGCCACUUCUUUUAAAACUAUGUUUUGAGUCCAUCCUAUCUACACUACCACCAUGGCGAGGACUCCCCACAUUCAAGCUACCAUUACAGCUUUCCCCCACACCAUGAAAACCAUUUACUGUAGGAUGAGCAUCAGCUGUGCUUUCUGUGGAUGGGUCACAAGUGCUACCACUAUUACCUGUGUCAACAGAGGAUUCAUUACCAUGCUUGUAUUUCUUGCUCUGACUCCUAAUACUUGCACGCACUGA